CAUUUUCGUUUUAUGGCUGGUGUCCAACAACAAGUCCUCAGCAUUUCUGAAAUUUGUAUUCCUUAGUUUUUGUCGUAUGAAACAUUAAAAAUACUUUACAUGAAUUUUUUAACACGGAACGCAUGCCCUUGAUUUAUAUUGUUCCUAGAUUUCUUAUAACACACGAUGUAUGUACUCCGAGAACACGGCUUCAACACAACACGGACGGAUUUCUCCGAAUUGUAUUAAUUCUAAGUUUUUUCUAACACGGUUUCGAUGCAGCACAGAACGAAUUAACAGUGUUAUAAGAGUAGUUUGCCGUGACAAUUCAAUAACUUGCGGAAACUUAAGGUCAAGCUGGAAGAUUGUACUCAAUCGAAAAAUACUUCGACCUUAAAAAAGAAUUCGAAUUCGCGUAAAAAAACCAAGAAACCUCGACCAAUAGCUCGGAAAAAAAUCAUUGAAUUUUCAAGGAUUACUGCGAAUCAAUUUUAAAAUGUAGUCGUAGGAAUUUUCAAAUUUUUGAGAGCUUAAAUUAAAAAGCUGGAAAAUCGCACUUUAUGAUAGGGCUGUAUGAGGGCUAAAUUUCGAUCGCAUGAAUUAAUUCAUUCUUUCCGCAAUUCGCACGGUAUGUUAUUGUAAAAACGACAAGAAUCAGUUAUCUGUUGCGCAAAUUAUGUCAUGGUAUGAAUAAUUAAAAACACGUGGAAUUAAACCGCAACGAAGAGUCAGAUAGACAAAACUAAAAUCUCACAGCCUGAUAUAAACGUAAUCUCCCAUGACUGCAUCGUAAAACUUCUACCGAGAUUGAAGUUUCCGGACUUUAUCGUAUCUCAGAAUGUAUUUGACGCAAUUACCGAAUAGAAACCGCAAUGUGUACGUGGCCAGGAUAUGAUCAGUAACCACAAAUUAGUGCGAAUAAACGAAAAGAGGGGAGGGAUAUCGCACGUGAACGAGGGUAUAUCCAUGGUGUUUUCAUUGGCCUCAGUGUCAGUCGCCAAUUUGUAUCUAAACGUCGUAGACCAGCCCCCCGUGGACAGACGAAAAAAUCUUAACGAGCAGUCAAGGACCAGAAAAUAGAAUGUCGCCAGUGCGUUUCAUACUACUCGCGAUUUUCGUGAUCGCUCUGAUCGCUGUCGGACAAUCCAAACCCUUAACAUUUCCGGAAAGAAGAUUGAGUAGACGGUGUCCAGAGGGAUACAGACUGGUUCGCAACAUGGGGUGCAGGGAAAUUGUGACCAAUGCGUGAACUUCGAGCACGAAGUCCACACAUAUACACGCAAAAGCAUCCGUGUUACCUCAAACUAUAAUGGACCCAACAUCGAUAUAUGCAAUGGAUACCUGACUUUCUGAUGGUCAAUUAUGUUGCGGAUUCAUCUUUUUUACUAUCGUAAACAUCUCUGUAAUCAGAUACAUACGUGUAAGAUAAAUCACAGCUUAUUGAGUUAAAUCUUGUCUCCUGUCCCUUAUGUAACCUCUGAGUAAGAAUUAAUAAAGAAUUAUACAGUUAAUUGCAA